rnacentral:lncRNA from 1 species
UUUGCUGAUAUGAAAAACCAAAAACAAUUUUUCAGUGCCCUCAAGACUGUCUAUGGGCCAUUAAAACCCACCACCACUCCCUUGCUAUCCUCUGACGGUGACACUCUCAUAAAAGAUAAAAAAGACAUCAGCAACAGGUGGAAAGAACACUUCAGUCAGCUUCUCAACCGACCCUUUUCAGUCGACCAAAGUGCCCUUGACCAGAUCCCCCAAAACCACUCCAUUGAACAACUUGACAUCCCUCCUUCAAUAGAGGAGGUCCAAAAAGCCAUUAAACAAAUGAGUGCAGGUAAGGCACCUGGUAAAGACGGUAUCAUAACCGAGGUGUACAAGGCCUUAAAUGGAAAGGCGCUCCAGGCAUUCCAUAAGGUGCUGACCAGCAUAUGGGAAGAGGAAGACAUGUCCCCAGAACUCAGAGAUGCCUCCAUUGUAGCCCUAUACAAGAACAAAGGCUCACGAGCAGCCUGUGACAACUACAGAGGCAUCUCACUACUCUCCACUGCUGGAAAGAUCCUCGCCCAUGUUAUACUCAACAGACUCCUGUCAUCUGUUUCAGAGCAGAACCUGCCCGAGUCACAAUGCGGCUUCCGACCAGAUCGCAGCACCAUCGACAUGGUCUUCACAGUGAGGCAAAUGCAGGAAAAAUACCUUGAGCAGAACCCGAGUCUCUACAUUGUCUUCAUAGACCUGACAAAGACACAGUGAACAGGGACGCAUUGUGGGUGAUCCUCAGCAAGCUCGGUUGCCCAGCAAAAUUUGUCAAACUGAUCUAGCUCUUUCAUGUCGACAUGACAGGGGAAGUCCUAUCUGGUGGAGAGACUUCCGACCGCUUCAACAUCUCCAAUGGCGUGAAACAAGGUUGUGUCCUCGCUCCAGUACUAUUCAACCUAUUUUUCACCCAAGUAUUACGACAUGCUGUGAUGGAUCUAGACCUGGACGUCUACAUCAAAUACCGACUGGAUGGCUCACUAUUUGAUCUUCGCUGCCUGACUGCAAAAACAAAGACAACAG